rnacentral:lncRNA from 10 species
UCCCUCCUCCCGGGGGUUCUGUCCCAGGGAAAUCAAACUUCUGUUCCUAAACUCCUGGCUGGAGCUGCAAAAAUUCCCACUGGGAGGCCCUGCCUGAUGAGGAAGAAUGAAUCUGGGUCUCACCUAAGUAAGCAGCCUAGCCACGAUCUGUCACAGCAUCAAUCUGGGUCUCAGCUAAAUAAGCAGUCUAGCCAUGAUCUGCCACAGCCGUUGUGCUGUGCUGUGGGGAAUUCCACACAGUCCAAACCGUCCAGUCUCCCCAUUACUGACAGGGGAAAACAGCUGAUGUGAGCUGCAGUGAUGGUGGUCUUUCCUCUCCCCAGGAACUCAGUUGUCUUAGGUGGUCUCCAGCCUGCUGCCACAACCCGACCGGCCCGAAGAGUCUACACAACUCUGUGCUUGGGACCCAGGGUCCUGGUGGCGUGGGCUCAUACGAGGAUUUCCAGAUCUGUGAGUUGCACAGAUCCAUGGGAAAAGCAUGGUUUCCCUGGUAGGGUAGCAUAAUCACUAUCUACCUCCCUUGGCUGCCGGUGGGAGUGCCCCUUACCCAGGAUAGCUCCUGGGUGGGCUGUCGCUCCACACUGCUUUUCCUCUCUCUCCAUGAGUCCUGACAACAGCCUAGUCAGUCCAAAUGAGAAAACAUGGACACCUCAGCUGAAGAUGCAGGAUUCACUCACCAUAUUUGUUCUUCUCAGUGGGAUCCGCAGACCGGAGCUGCUUGUAAUCGGCCAUCUUAUCUCAUAGAAUUUAGAUGACAACAUUCACGAAAAAUGUCAAGCACGCAGCUACAGCAGUGUGAACUACUUUGAAGUUUGAAAGCAACCUGUGUAGGACAAGCUCAAGAGGGCUAUCUAACGGCAGGAACAAUGAGAACCAUCAUUUGAUGGUUCUCCAAGACUUCUCCAAGAAGUCUACAUCCCAACAGCACCUUAUAAAUAAAUAGCCUCAGAAGAACAAGUGCUGCUAUUCCCCACUGAAGACUUCCUUCUAGGCAACAAUGCUUGUAGUGACAACAAGCAAGAGAAACAAGAUUUUCAAAUACUCAGUUCAAUUUUUUCAAUUAGAUCUAUGCCUGCAAGCUAAUCAGCAAACCUGCAAUAACCAGGAAAGUCCCUUUCUGGUCUGUUCAGAAUCAUUCCCUUUUAAUCACAGCCCAAGUCCUCCCAAUCUCUCUCCUGUGUGUGCUGUAUGUAUUUCUUUCAAACUCCUCCUGGAAACUUGGCCUUGACUUAGAGCUAGUUAGACCACAGGUCACCCUAUCAUCACUCCAGGAAUGCUGCAUGGAAGAGACCAGUGUGCAGAGGGGAUCUCACUAACCUGUGCUCUGCUUUGCUGAAACCCAGCUCGGUUCUGGGCUCACCUCGGUUGUGAGAUAGCAAGAAUGUAAUAUCAUUUCAGCCACUUCUUGUUUUUGCUUCUCACAAUAGCUUGCUGACUGGCAUAGAUUUUAUUAGAAACAGUCAACUUGAUAACAAUGAUAUUGUUAUCAGUCAAAAAUGAUAACAGUAGUAUUAAUCAAAUAAUUAUAUUAUUUUAUAUCACCGAAUACAUUGAUCUAUUCAUAAUAUUGAAUUUGUUAUGUAAUUUUAUUUACUAUAUUUAUUUUUGUAUUUACAAUAUUUUCACUCAAUUUUCAUGUUUAUUUAAUAUCAUUGAAGAUAAAAUUGUCUAUAUUUUAUUAGCAUACUCUUAUGUGUAUUAUAUAUUUUAAAUUUUAUCCAUAGUUUAUGAUUAUUUCUGUUUAACAAACAUGUAAAAUCGAAUAAUUUAUUAUGCAUUUCCCUCUAAAAUUAUUUCCAACUACAUACUACGUACCUGAUAUUGGACCUAUAUAUCCUCCCAAAUUCAAGAAGUAGUUUUCUUACUUAAAUAAAAUUGCCCAUAACUAAAGAAAAAAGGUAGUGUUUCUUCUCAUUGGUUUUAAUUACAACUUUCCUCUUCCCUAUAAAAUCAUUUUAUGAUUUGAG